rnacentral:lncRNA from 1 species
UGUAGCAGUCGUGGUUUCCCUAUUCUCGAACAGACACACGAGGGUACUACACCACGUAACGCGGUCGCCAUUGUGGUCGUUAUAGACGAUUCAUCGAUCGGUGGCUUACCAAGAUCGAAAUGAUCGAAAACUAUCGGUCGGGCAAUGAAAAAGCACGACGAUUUGAUGGAAUACAACUGACGAACGUCAACAGCAAUAACGACGCAUUCAAAUUUAAGUGGUGCACCUGCAACGACGAAAUUGUCAUGAGAUUAAAUCCUCUACGAGUGUCGUAAUCAGAUCCAGGUAACGAGCGAUGUGUGUGUGUCUGCGAACGCGCAUGUGUUGCGGCCGACAGUCGCGUGCUCGCACAAAGGAUCCUAUUAGACGGUACGAGCACGCAGAUCCUGCCCUUUGAACGUACGCAAAUCAAUGACAAGUCGUGUACGAACAGGCACUCGAGAAACGGACUUCUGGAGGUACAUCAAGGUACUAGAGGCAUAUCCAACGUUCCUGUUCGCCAUCCUCCUGGAAACACUUGUCUUGCUCUCUAGGAGAAACGGACCGAUGGUGACACGGCGAAAAUGGAUUUUCGAUCGUUCGCCAGAACGAGCACGUGGCCCUCCGUAUCUGACCUUAUAAGAACGAAGAACUAGCCGGUCAGAACCGACCUGCGUUAAUGACCGACGAGUUUAAUUGGCGGAUAAUGGGUUUAACUACGAGCAGAUUGUUUCAGUUUGGCAUGUCUAUUUCUGCUUCAAACGCGUUGAUUUUUUUUAUAACAUUGAUGCUUUGCGUUUGAGUACACUGAAUAGACACAAUCGACCAUUUCAUUUGCCUUACGGCAGUUUUAAUUAUUCACAAAGAAUACUCGAUGUGUUACAUAAAACGUUUCCUCUGAAAGAGGACAUAAUAAUCGAUCAAACAUGAGAUAUACGAAGAAAUUCGGUUAUAUUACACAGAAUAUUAAAGUACUAAUUAUCCUACAUAAAGCAUGAAUAUUUUAAAUUUAUAUCUAGACGAAUG